CCUCCUGAUGCCAGUUCGUUGCGUUCUCUGUGUUCCCUCGUUCCAGCAUUAUUAUUGAUUUUGAUCUUCGUGUAUGACCCUCGCUGCCGUUUUGACCUUGCCUUGCCUAGCCCUCUGGAUUUGUUUAUUAUUACCUUCUCGUGUACCGAACUCUGCCUGGAUGAAAGGACUGAUUUAUAACUCUACCUCUGAGUCUGCGUUUGCUCCAUACCGUGACCUGAGUCUCCUCAGAAGGUGAAGUCUGCUCUGGCCUUUCUCAUAGAAAGCUUGUGUGUUAUCAGACCAGUCCAGCUUAUUGUUCAGAUGAACACCCAGGCAGACUUGGCAAUGCAAGAAGCCUGUUUCCUCCUGCAAUGCCUCGCUUGGCACAAAUGGAGAGAGAGAAAGUGGAGGGCUUUGAACUGAUUAUGCUUGGUAAUUUUGAUUGAACUGUUUUCCAACAAGGCAAACAGAACAUCCCCGUCCUUUCAUUGUGUAUAAACCUCCUCUGGCUUGUCUCCUCCUGAAGACCCGAGCACCUGAGCCAGUUUACGAUGAAUGAUGAGCCCUCAUCUCCAUCGCCCCUGGACAGUCUUCUUUCAGUAAGAGGAGACUGGCUCUGAAAGGACUAUUAUCUCAGUGCUGCCUGCUGUACAGUCACAGUUGCCCACUGUGUGUGGGCUCGCUCCUGUCUGUCUGCAUCUGCUGCCGUGUCUAUCUGUUCCAGCCUGCUCGGGGGAUCGCCUGUCAAACUGACUGGCUGUAGACGGUCCUGGCUCAGCUGGUGCAUCUGGCACUGCUGCAGUAAACAUUGACUGCUGGGUUGUUUCCCCCUGCUCGGUUACAAACACAAUAAAAGGUUUGGUGCAAUAUGAUAUCAUCCUAGAGCAACGACAUAUCAGUUUAAUGUUGCAUUCGAAAGAGAAGACAAUAUGUAAUGAUGUGGGCCAAACAGAAUAACAAUUUGAAUCAGUUUUCAUAUUCUGUCUUUUUUUUAGUAUGAAAAUCUUUUUUUAAGCACAAAGCCUCAGCCAGCGUUUAGUCCUAUUCGACAGCAUUCACACCAGCAGACUAUAAGCACCCAAAGUGCACAUAUAGUCUCUUAUUUCCAGAGGUACAUCUAUGUGGAAGUGUCCUAAACCAGCAUUCUCUUUGAUGGUCAGCAGGGGGCGACUCCACUCGUUAGAAAAUAUGUCUGAUUGCAUAGUUGUCUAGAGCCCAUGAGUUUACAUGUCACAAUGUUCAGUAAACAUUUCCUUAAUCA